rnacentral:rRNA from 1 species
CCUACGGGAGGCAGCAGUGAGGAAUAUUGGUCAAUGGACGAGAGUCUGAACCAGCCAAGUAGCGUGAAGGAUGACUGCACUAUGGGUUGUAAACUUCUUUUAUAUGGGAAUAAAACGUUCCACGUGUGGGAUUAUGUAUGUACCAUAUGAAUAAGGAUCGGCUAACUCCGUGCCAGCAGCCGCGGUAAUACGGAGGAUUCGAGCGUUAUCCGGAUUUAUUGGGUUUAAAGGGAGCGUAGGUGGGUUGUUAAGUCAGUUGUGAAAGUUUGCGGCUCAACCGUAAAAUUGCAGUUGAAACUGGCAGUCUUGAGUAGAGUAGAGGUGGGCGGAAUUCGUGGUGUAGCGGUGAAAUGCUUAGAUAUCACGAAGAACUCCGAUUGCGAAGGCAGUUCACUGGACUGCAACUGACACUGAGGCUCGAAAGUGUGGGUAUCAAACAGGAUUAGAUACCCGAGUAGUC